UACGUAGGUGGCAAGCGUUUGUCCGGAAUUAUUGGGCGUAAAGCGCGCGCAGGCGGUCCUUUAAGUCUGAUGUGAAAGCCCACGGCUCAACCGUGGAGGGUCAUUGGAAACUGGGGGGACUUGAGUACAGAAGAGAAGAGUGGAAUUCCACGUGUAGCGGUGAAAUGCGUAGAGAUGUGGAGGAACACCAGUGGCGAAGGCGACUCUUUGGUCUGUAACUGACGCUGAGGCGCGAAAGCGUGGGGAGCAAACAGG
rnacentral:rRNA from 1 species